rnacentral:rRNA from 1 species
GAUGAACGCUGGCGGUAUGCUUAACACAUGCAAGUCGAACGGUACCUUCGGGUAUAGUGGCGGACGGGUGAGUAACGCGUGAGAAUCUGUCUUCAGGUCGGGGACAACAGUUAGAAAUGACUGCUAAUACCGGAUGUGCCGAGAGGUAAAAGAUUUAUUGCCUGAAAGAGAGCUCGCGUCAGAUUAGCUAGUAGGUGGUGUAAGAGACUACCUAGGCGACGAUCUGUAGCUGGUCUGAGAGGACGAUCAGCCACACUGGAACUGAGACACGGUCCAGACUCCUACGGGAGGCAGCAGUGGGGGGUAAUUUUCCGCAAUGGGCGAAAGCCUGACGGAGCAAUACCGCGUGAGGGACGAAGGCUUUUGGGUCGUAAACCUCUUUUAUUAGGGAAGAUUUCAGGACGGUACCUAAUGAAUAAGCAUCGGCUAACUCUGUGCCAGCAGCCGCGGUAAU